rnacentral:lncRNA from 1 species
CAGAUUUUACGCUUUCGCUAGUACCGAAAAGCGACUAAGCGCCAAACGAAUGGGCAUACCAUCAGCAUCGUUCCAGCUCCCGCGCCUGCUCCCCCUCCCACAGCUCACUCGUUCUGUUUGCUUUGCGGCUUUUUGGGGUUGUUGGAGAACAUGUCUGUGCAUGUCCGUUCAUGUCUGUACGUGUCUGUGCGCGUUUGUUUGUAUACACUUCGGCUUUGGCCUGCAAUUGGCGGGAAACUUUUGUGGAACGCAUUGGCAUUGUAGCAACAUACAAUGUGUUUUAGAUGAAAAAUUAUUAUUAAAGCCAACAAGAACAAAAACAGACUUUCAUUAACUUAUUAAUUGCCUAAUAAAUAUUAU